UAACUGAAGAGUUUGAUCAUGGCUCAGAUUGAACGCUGGCGGCAGGCUUAACACAUGCAAGUCGAGCGGGGGAAGGUAGCUUGCUACUGGACCUAGCGGCGGACGGGUGAGUAAUGCUUAGGAAUCUGCCUAUUAGUGGGGGACAACAUCUCGAAAGGGAUGCUAAUACCGCAUACGUCCUACGGGAGAAAGCA
rnacentral:rRNA from 1 species